ACCCCCGUGAGAAUGCCCCACAGUUCCCCUUUCUGGAACAAGGAGCUGGCAUCAGGCACACUUUUUGUAGCCCACGACGCCUUGCUUAGCCACACCCCCAAGGGACCUCAGCAGUGACAGAUAUUAAGCAAUAAGUGAAAACUUGACUUAGUUACAGCUAAAAGGGCCGGUAAAACUCGUGCCAGCCACCGCGGUUAUACGAGAGGCCCAAGUUGAUAAAUUUUCGGCGUAAAGCGUGGUUAGAUGCUUCACCCACUAAAGCCAAAUGCUCUCACCGCUGUUAUACGCUUUCGAGAGUAAGAAGCCCCACUACGAAAGUAGCUUUAUUUAUAUUGACCCCACGAAAGCUGUGGAACAAACUGGGAUUAGAUACCCCACUAUGCACAGCCAUAAACUUUGGCAGUUUACUUCACUUUCUGCCCGCCAGGGAACUACAAGCACUAGCUUGAAACCCAAAGGACUUGGCGGUGCUUAAGACCCCCCUAGAGGAGCCUGUUCUAGAACCGAUAACCCCCGUUAAACCUCACCCUUUCUUGUUAAUACCGCCUAUAUACCGCCGUCGUCAGCUUACCCUGUGAAGGACCCAUAGUAAGCUAAACUAGCAAAGCCCAAAACGUCAGGUCGAGGUGUAGCGAAUGAAAGGGGAAGAAAUGGGCUACAUUCCCUGAUACAGGGAACACGAAAGGUGUGUUGAAACACACACCAGAAGGAGGAUUUAGCAGUAAGCAGAAAAUAGAGCGUUCCGCUGAAACCGGCCCUAAAGCGCGCACACACCGCCCGUCACUCUCCCCAAGCUAGUACACAACACUAUCUAAUACAAGAAAUAAGCAAAGGGGAGGCAAGUCGUAACAUGGUAAGUGUACCGGAAGGUGCACUUGGAAAAAC
rnacentral:ncRNA from 1 species